UCGAAGUGAUACCCUAUGAUAUCAAGAAAAAUCCUAUGGAACAAAGAAGCAGAUAAUGAUCACAGAAGUGCAACAAAGACCACCAGGACCUGAUCAUCAAAUGUUAUGGUGUAGAUCUAAUCAGGAACAAGACACCUAAGUUGAACUCUGGCAAGGUUGUCCCAUGCAGAAGGUUUGAUACCCAGGCUUCUUUUGUACAAGUCCCUAGUCCACCCUCAUCUUGAGAACUGUUCCGGUGUCUGGGAUCCCUACAACAUCUCAGAUGUCCAGGACGCUACUUCACAAUGGGGACCACAAGAGAAGCAGCAGUUUGACUGAGAUGAUCAGCACCUUUUAGUUGCCUACUAUAUCUACAACUACAAGGCACUCUGCAAGAAGACUGGGAAUGGUGCACAAGAUAGUCGAUGGUCUCUCCGCUCUUCCUUGAAAAUUUUGCCACUGCACUACUUAUACCUACUUGCGCCCUCUAUAUAUCAAACAAUGCCUAAUCUGUGCCUGUUGGUCCCCCAUGAUCCUCUUUUUCUUAUAUUAAUUGAGAGCUGAUUUGAUGAGAUAACCACCUGUCAGUGACCUUGCAGGGUGGUCUUAUCCCCCAGACCAAACUAGACCAAACGGGCUUUAACAAAUCACGAGCAGGAAGUACCAUGACAUGACCCUCCAGUUGCACCAAGCCAGAAGCGACAUAGGUAGACAAGUUUGUAUGUGCCCAACACUCUGUCCCAAAGUUAAUGGAACUGACUUCCAGCAAAUAUAGUGCAUGCUGACAGUCCAGAGAACUGCCAGGGACUACUUCUGAGGCAUCUAUUAUCCUUAUCCCACUUAGAAACAAUCUGUCUUCCUCACACCACUUGUAAUCUUUAGUAUUAGUUCAUCUUCCUGAUAGGCUACAACGCCUUUUGAAGAUUACCA